UUUACACGAUGUUGAUAAAGACGACAUUGUGUCCGCCUGUAAGACAUAUUACGAGACGGUACGCAGGAGCUUUAGAUAUACCCAGCCAGAAAACUCAUUGCGGGCGGAAGCUGCGAAGAGUUCAGCUCAGAGUCGAGCGAGAAGAAAGAGGCUGCUGGAAUCGAGACAGAGUGUGCUAGCAGAUGACGAGGUGGAACUCUGGA